UUUUUGUGUUCCAAAUAUUUUUGUGGUUCAAAAAUCUUAAGUAAGAAGCAGUUUCUUUGAUCUAGGCACUCUCUCAUGGGGAGAAUUCCGGCUUUGCUUGACUAGAAACACAUUCUAAAAUGAAAUAGGUUCCACACGAAUGCUCUCAUUGCUCUACUACCACAAAAGUGAAUUUUAAAUACUCUUCACACUUUUUUGUAUAUGGAAAAGCAGUUUGAUAUUUGUUACUUAUUAUUCUAUUAUGGCAUUUUGUUUGUCUUCAUUCCAAAUCAAAUAUAUAAAAUGUAUCAAAAAAAUUACUGUUGUAUUUAUGUAAGCAAUCAAUAUCACUGCAGAAGAUUUAAUGUUGAAUUAUUUUAACAACAAUUUUCUUUAGGUUUUAAAUAUGCAUUAUUGAAUGCCUAUUAUGUGCAGAGUCCUUUUCUAGUAAAAUUAGACAUAUUACUAAUACCAUCUACAAAUAUAAAAUGCAUAAAAAUUAAACAAAAUUACUGUUAAAAUAUACAUUUUCCAAUUCAUAUAUAACAAAGUCAUUUCAGUCCAAUGAUCAAGAAUGGCAGCAAUUAUAUCAGCAGAUUCAGACAUUACUCUGGCACUUUUAUCACUUGUUGUCUUGGAACCUUGAGCAAGCCUUUUUUUAGAGCUGUAUGAAGAUUAAGUGAGAUAACACAGUGACUACCUCAUAGUACCUGCUUCAGUUUUUCUUAUUAUUGCCAAACUCCAUAUUAUUAUCCUGUAAUGUGGAAAAUAAGUUUGAGAAAAUUAAAAUUUUCCAUGUCUACAAUCUGAAUUAAUUCUAAUUCUAAUGACUGAUUAUCUGACUAUGAAUGAAUAAAAUCUCCUCCAACAUACAUACAACAAGUGCAUAAUAACUAAAAUUUCUGUCCUAGAAAGAACUGUUCCAACUAUUUAGGAUUAAAGAAAAGAAGAAAAGUUUAAAAUAAAAUUCCAAAAUUUCUUUCCCCCAAACAAAAAAUAAGUUCCACAGACACAAAUAUAUAUUCACAUGAACAAAAUAAAACUUGAUCUCAAAAGAAAAGGCUUGAAUAAAUGGUAUAAAGUAAUUAUGAGAAAUUUUCCCAUUAAUAAGUUUCAUUGGUUUUUAGAGAAUUUUGAACCCCAUAAGGGGUAGUACACAGAGACAUUUUGGCUAUGAGACAAGAAUGUUCCCCCCCCCCCAAAAAAAAGGAAGAAAGAGAAAGGGAAGGAAGGGGAGGGAAGAAAGAGGAGAGGAGAUAUUAUCAAUUUACUUAAUAGUAGAAGUACUGAAAGCUAAUAAUAUUUUUUGUCUAGAUUUAUACUAAUUUCCUCAAGUCAUACUGUCAUAUUUAAGCUGGAUAAGAAAUGUUAAAUCGAUAUAUGUGAUAUUUUCUAACAAAUGCUUCUGUUUGGGGAGAAUAUUUAACUAAUUGCUUUGUAUGGUUAUUUCUGGUUAUCUGCUAUUGGAAACAGCUAAAGGUUAGAUACUAAAAAAGGUCCAAUCAUUCAAAAUGACAGAAAUACUGUAAGGAGUCAUGGAAACAAACUAGAAAUCUAGAGAAGUCUAAAUCAAAAAAGAAAUUAUGAGUGUCAAACUAAGAUGAUCAUACUCUAUCCUGCGGUCAACUGGAAUUAAUGAAGCAUAAAUAAAUAAGAAAAGUGAUAUAAUUAGAUUUGAAUUUAUAUUUUUAUAAAUGGAUUUGCAGCAGAAUCUGGGAAAGGGGAAGAAUACACAAGAAUGCAGGGAGCCCUCUAAGAAGCUGCUGACACAUUCAGUCAUUAAAGAAGGAUUUGGUUAAACGGAAGAUGAAAGAACUUUAUGACCUGGUCCUGGUGAAUAUGCAGAAUGCGUUUAGGAUAGAUCUAACUUUAAGUAUAUUUUUUUUCCAUUUUUCUUCAUUUUAUUGAAGUACGGUUGAUAUACAAUGUUUUGAUGAUUUCUUCCAUACAACAAAGUGGUUCAGCUAUACAUAUGCACACAUCCCUUCUUUAUCAGUUUCCGUUCCUAUGUAGAUUUUCACAGAAUAUUGAGUAGCAUUCUCUGUGCUAUAUACAGCAAGUCCCUGUUGGCCAGUAUACCAUAUUUCAGUGUGCAUAUACCAAUCCCAAAGCCCCAGUCCAUCCCUCUCCCCACCUCUUCCCUUUGGUAACCAUAAAUUUGUUUUCAAAGUCUGUGAGUCUGUUUCUGUUCUGUGUAAGUUCAUUUGCAUCCUUUUUUUAGAUUCUACAUAUAAGUGAUAUCAUAUGAUGUUUAUCUUUCACUAUCUAACUUCACUUAGUACGAUAAAAGAAAAAAAAAGCAAGCUUAGGAAUGACUAAAGAUUCAGAUUCUGGGAACAUUACCCAGUAUUAGCAUCUGGUGGAAUCACAGCAACAGUAGGAAACUGUGUUUACAAGGUAUCUGAAUUAGUGGAAUUUGUAGAGUCUAUAGUCUCUGCUUCUCAGAGAUUUAUUAGAACCAUUUCAGGAUGCUCUCUUUUUGGAGAGCUUUUUAGGAUACAACUCCCCACAUAUUUAUAUUCAAUUCUGGCACAAAUACUGUUUACUCAAUUAAGGUCAUUUCUGGCAAUUACAUUCAUGUCACAGGAUUUUAGAUACGACUCCUUACUACUUAUUAUGCCACAAAUCAUUUAAGAACUUAUUGUUCCCACGAAGCCUUGAGAUGAAUAUUCUAGGUUUACAGUGGGACCACUCAUUAGUUACCAAAGAAACUCAGAAAAUUUCUGCCUUGGAUCACAUGUAGAAAUGGACUGAAACUAAACAAAAGCAUAUAAAAAUAUGGUCCUGUUCUCUACCCAGGACUAUCUUACAGGAAGCUCUAACUGAAUGUGGACAUUCUAAAUAGUGAUCAUUAGGAAAUAAUUCUUGCUUAAACUCUCAAUGAUACAUGUUAGAAUAUAUCUAUGCAACUGCCUACCUGGUUAUACAAUAAACCUUACUUUAAUAAAAACAUCUGGCCCCAAUUGUUGCUAAUUACACACCACUGAGGAGGGUUUAAUUCUUGAGACGACUUUACCCUCAGAGAACCUUCUAACUUCAGCGACUGCAGCCAAAUUAAUAGCCAAGGAAGAGAAUUGCUCCUGACACUUCAUUACAGUCUUCCCAGAACAUACUUACUGGAAACCAACAAGUUUAAUAAAAUCCCUUUCUAUAUUCAAAGUCUUUGUAAAAUUUGUUUGAGGGAAGGCUCUUCCUUAUAAAAUCCUGGCCCUAGUAAAUGUAACAAGCCUUUUAAGAUAGGAAGAACUAAAAAAAAAAAAAGUUAGUUUUUAAAGAAGCAAGCUUAUAAAUAACUAGUGAUUCAGAUUUUGGGAAUAUCUUGACCAAGAGGAAAGCAUACCUUCAUAGAAAAUACCUUUAUUUUGCCUUCAGUAUUUGCACAAUUAAAGAAAAUACACAAUGCCUAGUUUGAGAAAACUAUUACUAAAUUAAUCUAAAAUUACACUGAUCUAGCGAAUAAUGCACACCACUAGUGUUCUAUAAAAUGACAGGAGAAAGUGUUAGAAAUGGCACUGUCUUUAACAUCCUCCAAAGAAAUCAUAUACUAAAUUAAUAUAGUAAUCUAAUUAUAUACACAAUGAAAUUGUAGAAUGUUGAAAGUGAAUUGCUUUCUUCUCUUGACAAAUUUGCAUGUAUAAAUACAUACACAUAGAAAGAUUUAAUAAAAGAGACCAGAUUCCUGUUUUCUAAUCAGAGACUUAAAGGAUUAGAAUUAUGUGUGUAAACUUUAAACAUGAAAAUAUAGCUGAGACUGUAUUCUCUAAAAAUAUCUAAUAUAGAUGCUUUUAUAUACACACUUCCCAAGUCUAACAUAUUAUGUAAGACUUUUUUUAACCAAGAUGUUACAAUGCAAGAUGAACAUACAUGCCUAUAGCUGAUCUUUUAUUCACAAAUUCUCUUUCAAGAAGUUUACAAAUAAAUGUUUCAGUCAGCCAUUGAUUAUUUUCAGAAAUAGUGUUUCAGCAAAUAUUUAUUAAGCUAAUAUGUCAGGGGUACCUGAAAUGCAAUUAUGUACCAGACCUAGAAUCUGCCUUAUCAGUUGCUUACUCUCCAGUAGAGAAGAAAGGCAAGUAAACAGGAAGAUAAAAUAAACAGGAACACUAACUGGUUAACUCCUAGUCCCGAUAUUUUUCUUAUUCCAUUCUAAUCUAUUUUUGUUUUUACUUUUAGGCAGGAUAUUGGAUUUUGUGUUUCAACUGCAUGGAUUUAUUACUCAUUAUGGGCAUUUAUGAUUAAUGGUGCAAAAGAAACAUCAUUCAUUGAUAUUUUGAAUAUGCUCUUUCUAGAUUUUUUAAGAUUAACACUGAUAAUAUGAGGAAAAUCAAAAUGGUAUCAAGAUCUGUAAAUACUUUUUUUAGGAACUUUGGAGUGACCACCUCCUAUGAAAUUCCCAUAAAUCUCAUGCUAAAUGAAACUGUUGCAAGAAAACGUCAUACUGGGAAUUUAGAAUCAACAUAUCGCUUUCCUAUGUUAUUGAAUAUGCUGCAGUAAUUAUUCCAUGCUACCUUUUCAAUAUGACGGUAAAGACAAUUACUAUUAAUUGACUUCAAUGGAAUAAAAUCACUAUCCAGGGUCUAAAUUAUAUUGGAAACCAGCUGACUUCAGUAUGUUGUCCACCUCAAUAAGGCUUGUUAUAUUUGUUAUUCUAAUAAAGUCUUAAGAUAAAUAUACUAAAUUGAUUGGAUGAGAAUGCUGUGUAAUGGCUUAUAAAAUGAACAGAAAUUAGAAGCGCAUAAGAAAGGCGGCAUUCCAUUUUUCAUAAACCACCAAUGAAGAUAUCUAUAAUUUGGACUUCUAACUCUAUUCCUGUGUGUGCAAUCCUAGUUAAUUCUGAUCACCUUCCAUCCUCUCUCACACCAUCCAGAUGCAUCGUUUAACUUUGAGUAUGAUGAAGGCUACAAACAGGGAG
rnacentral:lncRNA from 1 species